rnacentral:rRNA from 1 species
UACGGGGGGAGCAAGCGUUGUUCGGAUUUACUGGGCGUAAAGGGCGCGUAGGCGGUCAGCACAAGUCAGUUGUGAAAUCUCCGGGCUUAACUCUGAAAGGUCAACUGAUACUGUGCGACUAGAGUGCAGAAGGGGCAACUGGGAAUUCACGGUGUAGCGGUGAAAUGCGUAGAUAUCGAGAGGAACACCUGCGGCGAAGGCGGGUUGCUGGGCUGACA